rnacentral:rRNA from 1 species
UACGGAGGGUGCGAGCGUUAAUCGGAAUCACUGGGCGUAAAGCGCGCGUAGGCGGCUUUUCAAGUCAGGGGUGAAAUCCCACGGCCCAACCGUGGAACUGCCUUUGAAACUGUAGAGCUUGAGUGUCGGAGAGGGUGGCGGAAUUCCAGGUGUAGGAGUGAAAUCCGUAGAUAUCUGGAGGAACACCGGUGGCGAAGGCGGCCACCUGGACGACAACUGACGCUGAGGUGCGGAAGCGUGGGUAGCAAACAGG